rnacentral:rRNA from 1 species
UACGUAGGCAGCAAGCGUUGUUCGGAAUUACUGGGCGUAAAGAGUGUGUAGGCGGUGCUCUAAGUCUGUUGUGAAAUCGCCCGGCUCAACCGGGCGGGGUUAUGCCAGACUGGCAGGCUAGAGGGUGGGAGAGGGAUGUGGAAUUCCGGGUGUAGUGGUGAAAUGCGUAGAGAUCCGGAGGAACCCCAGAGGCGAAGGCGGCAUCCUGGCCCACGACUGACACUCAGACACGACAGCAUGGGGAGCGAACGGG